AGUAUUACGGAUUAGAGCUUGUUAGUAAGUUUUUCAUUUACAUUGAAAAUUUAAUUGUGCAAUUCAAUUUAAUCUG
rnacentral:tRNA from 1 species